UUUGUCAUCACUUUACAUAUUUAGGAUAGAUUUGCAUGCAUGUUGCAUAUUUGCGUUGAUUUCAGGUGAUUUGGAGUGUUGACGAGCAACUGGAAGAAGCGGGCCUGAUCAUGUCAAACCACUCGACCCCGAGGUCGAGUAGAAGCUUCAAGAUCUCAACAGAUCACUCGACCCCCUGGUCGAGUAGAGGACAUCACUACUUCACCACAUCACUCGACCCCGAGGUCGAGUGUCUUCAUCCCAUCACCUGACAAUCACUCGAUCACAUCACUCGACCCCAAGGCCGAGUGUCUUCACCUUCAUUGCCAGAACACUACUCGACCUCUUCACUCUACCUGGAAGUCGAGUAUCACCAUCACCACCACUCGACUGCAUACUCGAUGACAAGCUUCAGAGCCUUCUUCAUUCCGCACUCAACCAGACACUCGAGCACAAGGAAGAAAAGAAGACUCCAGCUAUUCACUCGACCACCCACUCGACCACAUGGGUCGAGUACAGUUCUUAAUCCGUCCCAAUACUGCGUCAUUUUAAGAAUUAGGGUUUCGGAAUAUUUGGCUAUAAGUAGCAUGUACUUCACAUUUUCGCAGACAUGUUUUUAUCUAGUUUUAUUCCGCAGACCUUGUGUUCUAGACCUUUUUGUAAUCCGGAUUUCUCUUUAUCUAUUCAGUAUUCAGUAUUCAGCUUUUGUUCUUGAUUUCGUUUACUGUUGUUCAUUCUGUUAUCAUCCUGCUGUUACACUGUUGUUAUCAUGUUUUCAACUUGUUCAACGUUUAUGCUUUCUGUUAUGAUGCUGAGUAGUGAAUAGGUUUCUGAGGAUGGGUAAUAGUAGUGUAGAAUUCUGAGUAUGCUAGGUGAUUGAGUAUUGGUUGAUAGAUCCCUUCUGGAUUAGUUAUUCUUAAUGCCUAUUGCUUUCUGAUUAAGUGGAAUUUGAGCCCAGACAUUUCUGCGCCCAAAAGGUGUUUGAUGAAAUGUCUGAACCACUAAUUCCAGAGAUUCGUGACCCUGUACCAAGGUAUUGGUUGCAGGGAGCGUUUUGGCUUUAACUUGUUGAUUCGUAAUGUCUGUUAGGUUAGCUCUCGUCAAUGGUGAUUGAGUCUGGGACUAGGUUAACUUGAGAGUCUCUGUUGCGGUGGCACUUAGAUUUGGUUAAUGAACUUGUUAUCUAGGGUUAAUUUAUUGAGCAUGCCAAUCACCUGUAAACUGAGGAAACGAAACUACUCAAUUACCCCAUCCUUGGGAAUUCUUUACCUGAUUGAAUUCUUUGUUUACUCUACUGUUGUUUACUGCAUCCUGUUAUCUGUCGCUUAAUUUCUGCAAUUCUUUCUUGUUACUCGACCUCGUACUCGACCACCCAGUUGUCUGGCAACAGACUGUACAGUCGAGUAUCUGUAUUUUAUUUUCUGUCUAUUACUCGACCUGUCACUC
rnacentral:sRNA from 1 species